rnacentral:rRNA from 1 species
GUUGUAUGGUUAAGUGACUAAGCGUACACGGUGGAUGCCUUGGCAGUCAGAGGCGAUGAAGGACGUAUUAACUUGCGAUAAGCCCAGAUUAGGCAGUAAAAGCCACUUGAGUCUGGGAUUUCCGAAUGGGGAAACCCACUAGCAUAAGCUAGUAUCAUUAACUGAAUACAUAGGUUAAUGAAGCGAACCGGGGGAACUGAAACAUCUAAGUACCCCGAGGAAGAGAAAUCAACCGAGAUUCCGGUAGUAGCGGCGAGCGAAACCGGAUUAGCCCUUAAGCUAGUUCUGCGUUAGGUGAAUGUGCUGGAAAGCACAGCGAUACAGGGUGAUAGCCCCGUAACCAAAAAUGCAUUAAUAGUGAAAUCGAGUAGGACGGGACACGUGAUAUCCUGUUUGAACAUGGGGGGACCAUCCUCCAAGGCUAAAUACUCCUGACUGACCGAUAGUGAACCAGUACCGUGAGGGAAAGGCGAAAAGAACCCC